GGGUCUGUAGCUCAGUUGGUAAAGGCGUCGGCGUCGGCAGCAGGAGAUUGUAGGUUCAAUCCCUGCAGCGGCUGGCGCG